CGGGCCAGGCCCGGAAACCUUUGGCAAGCCUUCACCUGUGGGGAGUGGGUUAAGAAACUUCUCAGUGAUGGGUUUUUUUCCUGUGAGAAAAUGCAGCUCCCAACAUUUGGAGACUCUGGCCUUUUGUCCUCACUGGGGACACACGAAGCGGAGCCCCCAGGUAACUGCUGGGUGGGACAGCUGGAUUCUGUCGAGUUCUGCUGACAGAGUCUUGUUCAGGGAUUUCAAAGCCAUUGGCAACACGUAGGGGGUGCACACAGGUGCACAUACACCCCGAGGGUGGUGGUGCACCCCGACAAAAGGUGCCACAGAUAGUGUUGGCUGCCACUCGCCACCCUUCCUUGCCACCGACGCUGCCGGUGGCGUCUGCGGGCAAUCCACAAUUGCCACUGGCCGCUGCCACCAGUGUCUGCAGGUAGUUGCCGACCACUGGUUGGCACUUGCCACCCUCCUCCCCACCACCUCUGGGAGCUCACCAUGCCUCCAGGGGCAGGCAGUGUUCAUGCUUAAAGCCAUCAUGUUAAAGGUGACAGCUCAUCUUGACGUGUUCCCUUUAGCUCACUGAGUGAGUGACCAUCAGGGCGUGCUAUAACUAAUCCACAAAUAAUAGAGCAGUGCUCCCUGUGAGUUCUCCACCUGUUCUCCUGUCACAAGACCCCCCCCCCCCCCCCAGGACAUCUGUUCAUCCUUUCUCCCAACACAGGGGUGUUCAACUGGCUCUGGCCCUUGGAGCCAGGGCUUCCCAGGGGUUUGGAAAUUUGGUAGUAGUGGCAGCAUUAACUGUUGCUCCCCUGCUGCCAAAUUCCUGGGACAUGUGGGGAGCCUGCAGGCUGGAUAGUGUGGUUCUGUGUGCUAGAUCAGGUGCACAGGGCUAGGCUGGCACUGGGCACUGGAGCCUGACCUUGGCAUCAACACUGCAAGGCAUCUCGCCCACAGACCAGCUUCAGGCCACUCAUCUGACCCACAGGGCCAAAAAGUCAUCCAUCACUACCCUUGGACACUUUCACUCAUUGUCUCAGGACCAGGCUCCCUUUCUGCCCAGGCACCCGCCUGCUCAGCCUGUCUGCACCCACAUUGCUCAUGCUCACCUGCAUGCUGCUCAGUGGUAUUGGGCUAUGGUGCUGUGCCUCCUGGCUCUGCUCCAAAAUCAACUGGAAGGGAAGAGGCUGACAAGCAAGGAGCCCUCUGCCUGACUUGCCAAAUGGUUUUCCUCUUCACCCAACAUUACAUAAAGGAGCAUUCCUUUAGGGGCUGCAAGAGUCAAAGAGUCUGAGGAAAAAUUUUCUAGUCAGCAGCAGUAGUUUGGGUCAGCAUGUUAUACCCCAGCCUCCUGCUACCUGCAGUAGUCUGCCUUAAUGCUGGGCAGCAGCUGGGUAUCACCCUUUGUAGCUCAUCUUAGGGAGUACUCUAGGGAAGGGUAGCUAAAUGAGACUCAGAAUAGAAAGAGGAUGAGAGACCUUGAGAAACAGGAAGUAUGACAGGUAUUAACAGAGAAAUGAGAGCUUGAGGGGGCUGGAGUAAGGAGGGUCAUUGUGAGUUUCUGAGAAAAUGUAGGGGAAAAGGGAUAUUAGGAAAGGCACUGCGAGGUGGGGACACCUUGGAGUGGUACCUGGAAAGCAGAUAUCUAGGGAAGCAGAAAGACCAGCAAGAAUUGGCUGGGGGACUUUCAAGAAAUACAGGAUUAGAGAAUUGGAGGCUUGAUAGAGAAAAGUGCAAAGGAAAACAGAAGAAAACAGGUCUGGCAGAGACCAGGGAGAUUGUGGGGCUUUAGGGAAACUGGUGCUUACGGCAGGGAAGAUGCAGGUUUUGUGGGGAAAAGAAACAGUGGGUUAUGGAAGAAUUUUGAGGAUACACAUCAAAUUACGUUACCAAGGACGUUAGUUUCUCCUGAAAGAUCAAUCGUAUUGAUAUUCUGGAGAAAGAGGGUGAGCCUAUAGACACAAUGAGAACUGGUAUCCCAAAAGGUAGUCCAGGUCCAAACAAGCAGGCUACCACGUUCCAUCUACAUAAAGUGGGAGGCACUAAGUCACAUCACCAGUCUCUUAAAGCCCAGCAGGUGUGGCAGGGCUGUCCCAGAAAACUACUAGUUACCUCCUCAACAGGGAAGAGUUGUAUCACAGACAGAGCUGAUUUGAGACAGACCCUUACAAGUAAAUCCUGGGCUAGGAAGUAGCUGAAUUUUCCUUCCGCAGAGGGCAUUAGAGAUGGACCUCUGCCAUUCAUCCUAACAAGCUACUGCUGGUCAUUGCUACAUUAAAAAUGCUUCCCACCACAAUCUGAAGAUCUAAGCUGUUGGAGUGGGAAUCCCACCAAUGAAAGAGCAGAGACCUCCCCCCAAUAAAAACAACAGAGAUGCUUAUUUUAAA